AUAUUUGUUUUAGGAA
rnacentral:sRNA from 1 species